CGUAAGAAAGAAAACCAAGAACGUUGUUGCUGUUCUGAGCAACAACAACAACAACAACAACAAUGCCAAUAUCCAUACCGACCGCCAAUAUCCUUACCGACGGCCAGUUCACCGACCGCCGGUAGGUUACGCUCCGUCGGUAACUUAACACGGACAAGAACCCAUAAUCUGUUUUAUCGGGGGGGGGGGGUGAACUCCCCCAGCUCAACUACUCUUCUUCUUCAUUCACAAAAAAAUUUAAAAAAAAUUGUUCUGGAUGAUUAUACGACCACUAUAUAUUCUAAACGUACAUUAAGAUGACGUGGAUUAUUGUCUCCUUCGUUGAACCACAAUAUCACUAGGCCAAUAGGUUUUGUGCCAACAGAAGCAGUAAACGACAAAUUGGAGUGGUUAAGUAAUCAUUUAGAUCCUCAACGAACGGCUUUCGAAUAUUAAAAUUUCACUUUUGAUGCGCGGCGUGACAUUCUGUCCAAGCAAAUCAGCAUUUUUGAUCAUUACGGCCGCUUUCAUUCUUCGAGUACUGAGUUUGGUUCCGGAUUGUUGCAAGCUGAUUUUAAAAAGCUGCAUCCAAAAGCUGAAAAUACUUUCUUUGAUCGCUUUGACGAUGUUCGGAAUUAUUUAGUCCAACGUUUACAAUCUUUAAAAAUCCUAAAAAUCCUAAUGAUAAGUGUUAUGUAACUUUAUUAGAAA